GGGCCGGUAACUCAGUGGUAGAGUGUAGGACUGCAGCUACUGCCGCCUUCCCGAAGUCACCGGUUCGACUCCGGUUCGGCCCU